CUGGAAUGUUCCUGCCAUUUGGUUUGAGUUCGUGCUGUAAAAUCCUCCCAAAAGCAUUGUGUUCCACACAAAAAGUAUGGUCCAGAACCGGGGUGAUAUCGUUCUCUAGAAUCCAAACUAAACUUUUGUGUAGUUCUGGGUCAACAGAUUCCAGAUCAGAGAGCUGAAUGGGUUUCCCCAGGAGCUGUUUAUAAAAGGGAACCGUGAACCCCCCAUUGAUAUAGUGUCCAUGGAACACAGCCAAACCCAUUAUUCGCCCAACAAAAUGGAAAUAAGACAAAUGGUCAGGAUUGAUAGAGGAGUCUGGAUUGAUUUGCAGCAUGUAAAUAUUAUCUGUAGAGUACUGGAAGAGUCCAUAGUAUGGAUUCAACAUUUCAUGGCACAGUAAAUACAACCAUUCUCUUGCUACCCCUCCAUAAUCCAGGCCUUCC
rnacentral:lncRNA from 1 species